ACCUUUUGAAUUACUACUUAUUUUGAUCUCUAUGCCAUUGAUCUCCCCUUAGUUGAGAGCCCCUUUCCUCCCAUUUUCUUGAUUUAUAUUCUUCUCUUUUUGAUUUUGUGGCAUUUCAAUUCCUAGUAUAAUGUCUCCUUUUGUUAAUAAGAAAUGCUUCCUCUUCACUCUUUGGUGAAACUCCAGCGAUUUGUUUGACCAAUGUCUUUUGAUU
rnacentral:lncRNA from 1 species